rnacentral:rRNA from 1 species
CCUACGGGAGGCAGCAGUGGGGAAUAUUGGGCAAUGGGCGCAAGCCUGACCCAGCAACGCCGCGUGAAGGAAGAAGGCUUUCGGGUUGUAAACUUCUUUUCUCAGGGACGAAGCAAGUGACGGUACCUGAGGAAUAAGCCACGGCUAACUACGUGCCAGCAGCCGCGGUAAUACGUAGGUGGCAAGCGUUAGCCGGAUUUACUGGGUGUAAAGGGGGCGCCGGCGGCCUGUUAAGUCAGCGGGAAAAGCCCGGGGCUCAACCCCGGCGAGCCGUUGAAACUGGCGGGCUGGAGUUGGAGAGCCGUACGCGGCAUGCGCGGUGUAGCGGUGACAUGCUUAGAUAUCGCGC